AUUGAACGCUGGCGGCAGGCUUAACACAUGCAAGUCGAGCGGGGUGAUGGUGCUUGCACUAUCACUUAGCGGCGGACGGGUGAGUAAUGCUUAGGAAUCUGCCUAUUAGUGGGGGACAACAUCUCGAAAGGGAUGCUAAUACCGCAUACGUCCUACGGGAGAAAGCAGGGGAUCACUUGUGACCUUGCGCUAAUAGAUGAGCCUAAGUCGGAUUAGCUAGUUGGUGGGGUAAAGGCCUACCAAGGCGACGAUCUGUAGCGGGGCUGAGAGGAUGAUCCGCCAGACUGGGACUGGGACACGGCCCAGAAUCCUACGGGAGGCAGCAGUGGGGAAUAUUGGCCAAUGGGGAGAACCCUGAUCCAGCCAGGCCGCGUGUGUGAAGAAGGCCUUAUGGUUGUAAAGCACUUUAAGCGAGGAGGAGGCUCUUUUGGUUAAUACCCAAGAUGAGUGGACGUUACUCGCAGAAUAAGCACCGGCUAACUCUGUGCCAGCCGCCGCCGUAA
rnacentral:rRNA from 1 species